AAAUUCCAUUAUAUUGACAAACAAUUCUCGUUUUAAUCUAUUUAGUUCAAUAGACAAAACAUGGUCACAAUACUCAUUGGGGUUUCCAGUUUAAAAACAGUAUCAUAUAUAGACAAGCCUUUGAACAAUAAGAUGAAACAAUUCAAAUUAAAAAUCGAACAGCAUAAAUACACUCAUCAUAGAUACCAGAUAAAGGCAACAGUAGUAUACCGAUGUUCAAACUCAUAAAUCGAUAGGCUAAAACAAAUCCGGGUCAUAAACCAAAACCAGGAUUCAAAUUAAGUAUAUAUUUGCGCCAGACACGAGUUCCGUGUACAAAUGACUCAUCAGUGACGCUCGAAUCUAAAAAAAAAAUAAUUUAAAUGCCAAACAAUAUACAAAGUUUUAAGAGCAUUGAUGACCAACCAUUCCUAAAAGUUUGACCAAAUACAGCUAAGGUAUCUAUCCCUGAGGUUGAAACAAUUAAAAUCUUAUUGUUCAAAUGCGAACGGUUUUCUUUCGAGUCUGGGACAAACAAAUCUUAGUAAAAAUAUUAAACAACACGUUUAAUAAUUUAUUGCGUCCGAAGCGCUUUUGGAAUUACCUUCAUCAGGAACGCUCAAAGCCAAACAUUUG
rnacentral:lncRNA from 1 species